rnacentral:lncRNA from 10 species
GUGCGGGGCGGCGGGGCGGCGGGGCGGCCGGCGGCGGCCAUGGGAGAUAUCCCAGCCGUGGGCCUCAGCUCCUGGAAGCUGUGGUGCACCUGCCAUAAGAAGUCCUUGGUGGAAACAGCAUGCAGAAAGAGUCUCAAGGCCUUGAAGCUGAACUAUUUGGACCUCUACCUCAUACACUGGCCCAUGGGUUUCAAGAGUCGUUCUCUUAUAGGCCAUGGAGGACCUGGUGAUCACCGGGCUGGUGAAGAACAUCGGGGUGUCAAACUUCAACCAUGAACAGCUUGAGAGGCUUUUGAAUAAGCCUGGGUUGAGGUUCAAG